rnacentral:rRNA from 1 species
GACGAACGCUGGCGGCGUGCUUAACACAUGCAAGUCGAACGGAAAGGCCCUGCUUGCAGGGUGCUCGAGUGGCGAACGGGUGAGUAACACGUGGGUGAUCUGCCCCUUACUUUGGGAUAAGCCUGGGAAACUGGGUCUAAUACUUGAUAGGACCAUGCUGUAGGUGGUGUGGUGGAAAGAUUUUUUCGGUAAGGGAUGAGCUCGCGGCCUAUCAGCUUGUUGGUGGGGUAAUGGCCUACCAAGGCGUCGACGGGUAGCCGGCCUGAGAGGGUGGACGGCCACAGUGGGACUGAGAUACGGCCCAGACUCCUACGGGAGGCAGCAGUGGGGAAUAUUGCAAAAUGGGCGCAAGCCUGAUGCAGCGACGCCGCGUGGGGGAUGACGGCCUUAGGGUUGUAAACUCCUUUCAGCCAUGACGAAGCCUCUUUUGGGGUGACGGUAGUGGUAGAAGAAGCACCGGCUAACUACGUG